rfam:Stegodyphus mimosarum contig70382, whole genome shotgun sequence.
GCCUUCGUGGUGCAGUGGUCAGAAUACUCGACGCGUAUUCGUGAAGUCCUAGGUUCGAGUCCCGGCAAGGGCA